CAGCCGCCGCGGGAAUACGAAGGGGGCUAGCGUUGCUCGGAAUCACUGGGCGUAAAGGGUGCGUAGGCGGGUCUUUAAGUCAGGGGUGAAACCCUGGAGCUCAACUCCAGAACUGCCUUUGAUACUGAAGAUCUUGAGUUCGGGAGAGGCGAGUGGAACUGCGAGUGUAGAGGUGAAAUUCGUAGAUGUUCGCAAGAACACCAGUGGCGAAGGCGGCUCACUGGCCCGAUACUGACGCUGAGGCACGAAAGCGUGGGGAGCAAACAGGAUUAGAUACCCGCGUAGUCCCUGUCUCUUAUAC
rnacentral:rRNA from 1 species